UUUCCGUAGGUGAACCUGCGGAAGGAUCAUUAAUGAAUUACAAAAGCUUUUGAAGUUGUUUUGCUGGUCUCUAGGGACAUUGUGCACGCUUCAUUAGUUUCCACUUCAUACCCCUGUGCACCUUUGAUAGAUUUCGGUUUGGGUUAUCCUUUGGUUUUUUUUCUUAAUUGAAAGGCCUUUGGUUUCCUUAAAACGACUUCUAUACUAUACCACACACCAAAUGUAUGUUUUAUAAUGAAUGGUUUAUAAUGACAAGGCCAUGAGCCUUAUAAACUUAAUACAACUUUCAACAUCGGAUCUCUUGGCUCUCGCAUCGAUGAAGAACGCAGCGAAAUGCGAUAAGUAAUGUGAAUUGCAGAAUUCAGUGAAUCAUCGAAUCUUUGAACGCACCUUGCGCCCUUUGGUAUUCCGAAGGGCAUGCCUGUUUGAGUGUCAUUAAAUUCUCAAACUCUAUGACUUUAUUGUUGUAGCUGUUUGGAUUGUUGGGGGUUGCUGGCUUCUUUCUUUGAAGUCGGCUCCUCUUAAAUGCAUUAGCGGGACUUUGUUGCCUCUGCGCAUAGUGUGAUAAUUAUCUACGCUAGACGCAUGCAAUUCUUAUAUUGUCCAGCUUUCUAAUCGUCUCAAGGGACAAUUACUUUGACAAUUUGACCUCAAAUCAGGUAGGACUACCCGCUGAACUUAAGCAUAUCAAUAAGCGGAGGAAAAGAAACUAACAAGGAUUCCCCUAGUAACUGCAGGAAAAAGGGGGAAAAA
rnacentral:rRNA from 1 species